CAGUCGCCACGGUAAUACGAAGGGGGCUAGCGUUGUUCGGAAUUACUGGGCGUAAAGGGCGCGUAGGCGGCCAUUCAAGUUAGAUGUGAAAGCCCUGGGCUCAACCUAGGAAUUGCAUUUGAUACUGUUUGGCUUGAGUUCGGGAGAGGUGAGUGGAAUUCCCAGUGUAGAGGUGAAAUUCGUAGAUAUUGGGAAGAACACCGGUGGCGAAGGCGGCUCACUGGCUCAUUCUAGACGCUGAGGUGCGAAAGCGUGGGGAGCAAACAGGAUUAGAUACCCCGGUAGUCCCUGUCUCUUAUAC
rnacentral:rRNA from 1 species